ACCUGCCACCAUGUCCCCCUGAUGCUCCCGGUCUUGCCUGAUCUUGGAGGUUGAGCGGGGUUGGGCCUGGUUAAUACUUGAAAAUAGAGGUCUUGCCGGGCU
rnacentral:rRNA from 1 species